GAGGAUUAUACUGUCUCCCCCCCUAAAUCAAUGAAACUGAUCCCCCCGUGAAGAAGCGGGGAUAAAUAUAUAAGACGAGAAGACCCUAUGGAGCUUUAAACUCAACACCACUUACCUCAACGAACCCCCUUACAAACAGGUAAAGAUCGUGUAUGUUUUCAGUUGGGGUGACUGCGGAGCAAAAUAAAACCUCCACGAUGAAAAAUAACCUCUAAUCCAAGAACAACAUUUCAAAGAAUCAACAAAUUGACAUCAAUUGACCCAAAUAAUAAUUUGAUCAACGAACCAAGUUACCCUAGGGAUAACAGCGCAAUCCAUUUCAAGAGCUCAUAUCGACAAAUG
rnacentral:rRNA from 1 species